AGCCGCCUACGGGGCGCAGCAGUAGGGAAUCUUCGGCAAUGGGCGAAAGCCUGACCGAGCAACGCCGCGUGAAUGAAGAAGGCUUUCGGGUUGUAAACUUCUUUUGACAGGGAAGAGCAGAAGACGGUACCUGUCGAAUAAGCCACGGCUAACUACGUGCCAGCAGCCGCGGUAAUACGUAGGUGGCAAGCGUUGUCCGGAUUUACUGGGUGUAAAGGGCGUGUAGCCGGGCUGACAAGUCAGAUGUGAAAUCCGGGGGCUCAACCCCCGAACUGCAUUUGAAACUGUUGGUCUUGAGUAUCGGG
rnacentral:rRNA from 1 species